ACACUAAGUGAAAUUAAGUGAAAUCUACAGGUAACCAACAGAGGAGGGGAUGAAGCUGGGAUUCAGAUCAACAAUUUGGAACAUAAGGAAGAAAUAAGCAUUCAACCAGAACAGGAAGGAAAGAAAAUUAAAAAAACAAACAAACAAGGAUAGGAUAAGGUGCCAUUGGGACAUUUCCAAAUGUACUAACAUCUGAAUAAGGAUACCAGAAGGAGAAGAGGAAGAGCAAGAAAUUGAAAACUUAGUUGAAAAAAUAAUGAAAGAAAACUUCCCUAAUUUGGUGAAGGAAAUAGACAUACAAGUCCAGGAAGCACAGAGAGU